AAAAUUGAUUUUUAUGAUAGGGAACAAAAAGAAAUAAAAGAACGGGUCGUGACUCUUGAGAAUCCCUCCUAUGUUCAGCCGCCUCCAUCGCCUUCCUCCUUUGUUCAGCCGCCUCACUUAUCCCCUCAUUCGUAUCCUUGGAUUUCACAAUGUAGAGAUUUCUGGCGGUGAUGCGAUGAGGAGUCUCUUUACCUCCGCAUCACUUUCAAAUCGCCAACGAACAUUCCGGCGGUCGGUUUCUUCAAACGGACGAGUUCUUCAUCGUCCGUCGUUGUCUGUGCUCUUGGAGGAUCAGAUUCUUGGUACUGUGGAGGAGUUCUAUCAUGCCAGCAUGGUUCUCUUCUCCCUGUUUCUGGUAUCCAUAUCUGUUUUGAUAUAGUUGUUUGCCAAGGUGGUGCGCAGGCUUAUCAGCGCAACACCACCAUCAAGCCUCGUUAGACUCGUUUGAUCUUUCGGGGUUGCCUCUUUUAUGCCGUCGGGGUUGUUUAAGUAGUCGACGUCGUCGCGGACUACCCCUGUCUGUGUGUUGACAGUUCCUAUGACGGAUGAUUCAGAUUGAUUGGCUAGAAAUGGCUGCGUAAACUUGAUGUUCUCGUCGCAUUGAGUCUUUGGUCGGUGGAUAUGUUAUCGUGUUGGCAAUCUGAUUCACUUCCAGAACGGAAAACUUGUGGUAUUGGUCCUCUAGGAUCAUGGAUGCUUCGUAAUAGGGCUUCUAGGCUAGAAAUAACAAUGCACUUGUUGUCCGCUGUUAUUGCGAAUAGGAUGCGAGUGUUACCGUGUUGGCAGUGCUCGUGGUACUCAGACCUGUUGAUCGACCAUCCCUCGAUAUGACCUUCAAUUGGUUUGAGUUGCUUUCUAUUGGAUUUGGCUAGAAAUGGUCGUGAAAGCUUUCUGUCGCAGCAUAGUGGGUUGUAGGCGUGGGGUUCUGUAUCCGUGUUGGCGGUAGAAUCUCUCACACCUGUACGAAGUUUCUCUGUAUAACUUGGGGAGGUUUCAUAAUUCUCAUCAGUCUACCUAAUGUCGGACUGCUUGGCUCGAAAGAGACAUUAUGCUUGUUGCUUUCGCAAGGAGAUGUUGGUUUUUGGAUUCAUUCUAUGUUGACGGUUUGUCCAUACACCACUUGUUAGACAUUCACCGAUGUUGUUUUUAUUUCAUUGUAUCACUCGAUUGGGUUUGAAUACACUUUGUGUGAAUUGACUAGGUUAGGUUUAUGUCCCCCGAGUUCUUUUUUAGUAUUUUUUUUUUUUUUACCUUUUUUUAAUAAUAUAUAUGAAUACCUGACAUAGAUUGGAAUCUACAAGACAUUCCAACUUUUGAACCGUUUUCUGUUCCUUUUUUAUGUCAUCGGUCUCUGGCCUUAUAAAAAAAAUAAAAGAAAAUAACUUUAGAUUUUUUUU
rnacentral:lncRNA from 1 species